CAGUAGCCGCGGUAAUACGGAGGGGGCUAGCGUUGUUCGGAAUUACUGGGCGUAGAGCGCACGUAGGCGGCUUGGUAAGUUAGAGGUGAAAGCCCGGAGCUCAACUCCGGAAUUGCCUUUAAGACUGCCGAGCUAGUAGGUGAGAGAGGUAAGUGGAAUUCCGAGUGUAGAGGUGAAAUUCGUAGAUUUUCGGAAGAACACCAGUAGCGAAGGCGGCUUACUGGCUCAUUCUAGACGCUGAGGUGCGAAAGCGUGGGGAGCAAACAGGAUUAGAUACCCCAGUAGUCCCUGUCUCUUAUAC
rnacentral:rRNA from 1 species